ACGGAAGGCAGCAGUGAGGAAUAUUGGUCAAUGGACGGAAGUCUGAACCAGCCAAGUCGCGUGAAGGAUGAAGGUAUUAUGUAUUGCAAACUUCUUUAGCAGUGGAGUAAUAAGGGGAUCGUGAUCCCUGAUGCAAGUACACUGAGAAUAAGGAUCGGCUAACUCCGUGCCAGCAGCCGCGGUAAUACGGAGGAUCCGAGCGUUAUCCGGAUUUAUUGGGUUUAAAGGGUGCGCAGGCGGCUUUUUAAGUCAGUGGUUAAAUCGUGACGCUCAACGUCAUCACGCCAUUGAUACUGGAGAGCUUGAUUGCGGUCGAGGUUUGCGGAAUUCGUUGUGUAGCGGUGAAAUGCAUAGAUAUGACGAAGAACACCGAUUGCGUAGGCAGCAGACCAGGCCGUAAAUGACGCUCAUGCACGAAAGUGCGGGGAUCGAACAGGAUUAGAUACCCUGGUA
rnacentral:rRNA from 1 species